UAUUGCCCUAAUUCAUUUACUUCUCCAUCACUGUAGCUGCCUUCCAUCCCUGUCAUUUGCUUUGGCUGUGGGAUUGCAGAAGCACCAGAAAACUGCAGAGGAAAGAGAAGGAAUGACAUUCAAAUCGACAUAACUACAUCUAUUGGUUAAGGUAAUUCACUGCAGCAUACUCUAAUACUGAGAGGAAGACAAACACAAAACUGACCCAGAGGUAAAUGUCCACAGCUUUGAUGUAGGAAACUCGAGGCAUGGAGGCAUUGACACCAGUGAUGAUGGUAGACAUGGCACAGCACGGCGGUCUAUCCAGAAAGAAACCCAAGACAACAUGACCAUCAGAGUGGCAGGGAAAUAGGUCUGAAGCAAGAAGAAGAAGAUAUGUCGUCUUAAUGUGAAGUUGAUGAAGAGACGGUUGUACCAACCUGCAAGAGGAAGAGGGAGAACCAGAUCACAAUGAAGACAACCAAUGCUAAUAACUACAUAAACAACAUGGAACUCUUACAGUAUUUAUUUUCAUAAUACUGUGCUUUAGAAUUAGCACCAAAAAGGGGCACUUUUCACUUUAAUAAUGCAAACAUGCAAAUAAUAUUUAGAAUUCCUGUGAAUUCAGUUUAGAUAUUUUUUUAAAAAUUGAGCAAAACAGACAGGUUUACCCAAGUUUAAUGAAAUCAAAUAGUCUGCUGUAAAUAGAUCUGGGUUUUUUCUUUCCUAAUUUCUCCCAUCAUGAUGAAAGAGACACAAAAAGUCUCCACAUUCUCUAUUUCUGUGAAGCAAAUGUUGCGAUUGGUUUGACACUUCCUGCUGUCAAAAUACCCUCACUCACACUGGAACAGGUGGAAGGUGACAUUUUGACAAAUAGAAAUGCCCUACUCCUACUAAGUUCCAUUAACAGUUCUAUUUGUACAAGAAUGACUUCUGUUCCUUCUUCUCUCUAGCCUUUCUUUGUGAACAUUUUUAGAAUUCAUAAG